CGGGAGCGAGUUCAGCUUCCUGACAGCCUGGUGGAUGAAGCUGUCCUUCAGUCUGCUGGUCCUGGCCUGGAGACUUUGCAGUCUCCUCCCUGAUGGCAGCAGACUGAAGAAGCUGUGUGACAGGUGAGUGGGAUCACCUGCAAUGCAGAGGGCUUUUCGAGUGAGACGGGUGGGAGGGAGGGAGGGGAGAGAGACACCAACGAUCUUCUCAGCUGCUCUCACUAUGCGUUGCAGAGUCUUCCGGCAGGACGCGUUGCAGGCGCCAUACCACACAGUGAUGCAGCUGGUCAGAAUGCUCUCGAUGGUGCCUCUGUAGAAGGUGUACAUGAUGGGGGGGUGGGGCUCUGGCUCUCCUCAGUUUGCGGAGGAAGUAGAGACACUGCUGUGAUUUCUUGGCCAGUGCUGCAGUGUUGUCGGUCCAGGAGAGGUCCUCUGUGAUGUGCACACCCAGGAACUUGGUGCUGCUCACUCUCUCCACAGUCGCACCGUUGAUGGUCAGAGGAACAUGCUGAGUGUGCGCUCUCCUGAAGUCAACAACAAUCUCCUUCGUCUUCUCCACGUUCAGAGAGAGAUUGUUGUCACUGCACCACCCGGCCAGGCGGCUCACCUCGCUCCUGUAGUUUGUCUCAUCUCUGUUGCUAAUGAGACCCACCACAGUCGUGUCAUCCGCAAACUUAAUGAAGAGGUUGGAGUUGUGUGACGGUGUGCAGUCGUGGGUCAGCAGAGUGAAGAGGAGGGGGCUCAGCACACAUCCUUGGGGGGCCCCAGUGUUCAGUGUGAUGGUGCUGGAUGUGUUGCUGCCGACACGUACUGCCUGAGGUCUUCCAGUCAGAAAGUCCAACAGCCAGUUGCACAGCGAAGUGUUGAGCCCCAGCUCGACCAGUGAGUUCUGCUGCACAGUCUCUCAGUACACGCCCAGGAAUGUUGUCAGGACCCGGAGCUUUGCGUACAUUGAUCCUGCUGAAGGAUCUCCUCACGCUGUCCGGGGUCAGCGUCAUCACCUGGUCACUGGGAGGAGGUGGAGUCUUCUGUGCAGUGGAGCUGUUUUGUGCCUCAAAGCGAGCGAAGAAGGUGUUCAGCUCGUUCAGCAGAGAGAUGUUGCUGUCACAGGUCUGCUGUGGGGGCUUGUAGUCCGUAAUGGUCUGUAUCCCCUGCCACAGGCUCCGAGUGUCUCUGCUGUCACUGAAUUGAUGGGCUAUCCUCCUGGAGUACUGUCUCUUAGCCUCUCUGAUGCCGCGGGAUAGGUUGGCCCUGGCUGUUCUCAGGCCCCCCUCGUCUCCAGCUCUGAAGGCAGCGUUCCGCGUCUCCAGGAGUCUGUAGACUUCCCCUGUCAUCCACGGCUUCUGGUUGGCCCGGACAGUAAUGGUUUUUGUGACUGUUACAUCCUCAAUGCACUUGGUGAUGUAGGCAGUGACAGUCUCUGAGUACUCCUGGAGGUCAGUGGAGUUAUUGUAAGUGGCAGCCUGCUUAAACAUAUUCCAGUCAGUUGUAUCAAAGCAGUCCUGAAGAGCGUCAGACGACCCUUCUGGCCACACUUGAAUCUGUUUCUGAACUGGUUUACCGACUUUAACAAUUAAUGUGUUGGUGUAUUUUUGGAAACACACUCUUUAAGUCAGCAUGGUUGAAAUCCCCAGCUAUGAUGAGAAAAGCAUCGGGGUGUGCUGUCUGCUGCUCACUGAUGUGCUGGUGCAGUUCAUUUAGUGCAUCGUUCCUGUUGCUGUUGUUGUUGUUCGGGGGAAUGUAAACCGAAACGAGCAGUAUGGCAGUAUAUUCCCUCGGCAGAUAGAACGGCCGGCACUUAAUAAUCAUAAACUCCACCAGGGUUGAGCAGUGUUUGCAGAUCACCUCCUCGCUUACCCCUCUUCUGCUUCCUCUCACGCCGCUUGUGGCGCCUCCGCUGUGGGCGAGAUGCAGUAGUGGGGGUCGGUGAUGAUGUAGGCCUCCAGAGUAGUCCG
ensembl:lncRNA